UGCGAGUCUGAGAUUUGAAAGCAUCCCACUCUUGAAUUAUGAUUAUUUAUUGUCUUUACAGUGCCUAAAGGCCCAGCCUCGUUGUGCUGAGGACUCUGCAGACAAAAUGAAGGCACAGCCCCUGCCUUGAAGGCACAGCAGCUCCUUGACUUCAGCUAAUUGCCAUGUUCCCUCGAAGGAGGAGUGAUGCCUCACCCAAGUUUCUCUGCUAUGGAUGUGAGGAGCUGAUCUCGGAGUUAUUCAGUGGUUUCUUACAUCAUUCCUGUGUUCCCAGCCGUGCCACAAGGCUUUCAGAAGGAAAGUUCCUCUGUCUGGUUCAGUGCCUGGUCACAGUGAGUUUUCCUGGCACAAGCGAGUGGAAAGAGCACUUUGGCAUGGAGAGGAAAUGA
rnacentral:lncRNA from 1 species